UUUAAAGUAAGCUAAAAAAGCUAUUGGACUCAUAAUCCACUUAUGAAUAAAAUUCCUUUAAAA
rnacentral:tRNA from 1 species